GAUGAACGCUGGCGGCGUGCCUAAUACAUGCAAGUCGAGCGAACGGACGAGAAGCUUGCUUCUCUGAUGUUAGCGGCGGACGGGUGAGUAACACGUGGAUAACCUACCUAUAAGACUGGGAUAACUUCGGGAAACCGGAGCUAAUACCGGAUGAUAUUUUGAACCGCAUGGUUCAAAAGUGAAAGACGGUCUUGCUGUCACUUAUAGAUGGAUCCGCGCUGCAUUAGCUAGUUGGUAAGGUAACGGCUUACCAAGGCAACGAUGCAUAGCCGACCUGAGAGGGUGAUCGGCCACACUGGAACUGAGACACGGUCCAGACUCCUACGGGAGGCAGCAGUAGGGAAUCUUCCGCAAUGGGCGAAAGCCUGACGGAGCAACGCCGCGUGAGUGAUGAAGGUCUUCGGAUCGUAAAACUCUGUUAUUAGGGAAGAACAUAUGUGUAAGUAACUGUGCACAUCUUGACGGUACCUAAUCAGAAAGCAACGGGUAACUACGUG
rnacentral:rRNA from 1 species